rnacentral:rRNA from 1 species
UACAGAGGUCCCGAGCGUUGUUCGGAUUCACUGGGCGUAAAGGGUGCGUAGGUGGCAUGUUAAGUUUGAUGUGAAAGCUCAGGGCUUAACCCUGAAAUGGCAUUGAAUACUAGCGUGCUGGAGGAUUGGAGGGGGGACUGGAAUUCUUGGUGUAGCAGUGAAAUGCGUAGAUAUCAAGAGGAACGCCAGUGGCGAAGGCGAGUCCCUGGACAACACCUGACACUGAGGCACGAAAGCUAGGGGAGCAAACAGG